UUCUUAGGUAGAGCAUGAACUCUUGAUGCCUGACUACAUAAUACAUGAAAACCACAUCUGAAUUCUUACCUUCUGAAGUUUGCUGAUGGCCUUUGGAAAAUUCAGUGGAGGGAGUUCCAUUCCUGUCUCUGACCAGCCCCCUCUUCUACAACUGUCUGUGGGUUCAACGGAGUUUGGCUGCUUCAGCUGGGCGAGUCCCAGACUGCUUGUCAGGCUCAGGUCUGUUUUCCUGAAACAUCUUCUCACAGCCGUUGGCAGAAGUACACGAGAGAAAGCAGAAAAAUGCAUUAUCUGGAAGGCCUCAGUUUGGAACAGUGCCCUGUUCCUAUCCCCACCUUCCACUGAUCACUGCCAAGCUCAUAGUGUUUGUCAUUAAAUUACCGAUUCUGCGCUCCAAACCUACCUUUCUAUACUCUGAUUUAUGUUGCUGGAUCUGGGGCCAUUUUUCUACUUUGUCAGAUGGCUCCCAGCCUGGGCUCAUUAACUGGAAUUACCAGAGGGGAUUUGAAGACUGGAGAAGAGAUAGUAAUUCCCCUGUUUUCUUGUUCCUGACACUCCUCCCCAGGAAAGUUUCUUCACCCUGACAACGGCAGUUGGCUCCAGUGUUUAGUUUAAAAAAUUUUUGCCACAUAU
rnacentral:lncRNA from 1 species